rnacentral:rRNA from 1 species
CCUACGGGAGGCAGCAGUAGGGAAUCUUCCGCAAUGGACGAAAGUCUGACGGAGCAACGCCGCGUGAGUGAUGAAGGCUUUCGGGUCGUAAAACUCUGUUAUUAGGGAAGAACAAACGUGUAAGUAACUGUGCACGUCUUGACGGUACCUAAUCAGAAAGCCACGGCUAACUACGUGCCAGCAGCCGCGGU